rnacentral:tRNA from 1 species
AGUAGGUUGGCAGAACAGUGCCAUCAAUUUAGGAUUGAUAUACGGAAAUAAUCCACUUACUAUUUA